rnacentral:rRNA from 1 species
UACGGAGGAUGCAAGCGUUAUCCGGAAUGAUUGGGCGUAAAGCGUCCGCAGGUGGCUGUGUAAGUCUGCUGUUAAAGAGUGAGGCUCAACCUCAUAAAGGCAGUGGAAACUACAUAGCUAGAGUGCGUUCGGGGCAGAGGGAAUUCCUGGUGUAGCGGUGAAAUGCGUAGAGAUCAGGAAGAACACCGGUGGCGAAAGCGCUCUGCUAGGCCGCAACUGACACUGAGGGACGAAAGCUAGGGGAGCGAAUGGG